rnacentral:rRNA from 1 species
UGUAGGGCGCAAGCGUUGUCCGGAAUUAUUGGGCGUAAAGAGCUCGUAGGCGGCUUGUCACGUCGGAUGUGAAAGCCCGGGGCUUAACCCCGGGUCUGCAUUCGAUACGGGCUAGCUAGAGUGUGGUAGGGGAGAUCGGAAUUCCUGGUGUAGCGGUGAAAUGCGCAGAUAUCAGGAGGAACACCGGUGGCGAAGGCGGAUCUCUGGGCCAUUACUGACGCUGAGGAGCGAAAGCGUGGGGAGCGAACAGGAUUAGAUACCCUGGUAGUCCACGCCGUAAACGUUGGGAACUAGGUGUUGGCGACACUCCACGUCGUCGGUGCCGCAGCUAACGCAUUAAGUUCCCCGCCUGGGGAGUACGGCCGCAAGGCUA